CAGUCGCCGCGGGAAAACGGAGGGGGCUAGCGUUGUUCGGAAUUACUGGGCGUAAAGCGCACGUAGGCGGCUUGGUAAGUUAGAGGUGAAAGCCCGGAGCUCAACUCCGGAAUUGCCUUUAAGACUGCCGAGCUAGUAGGUGAGAGAGGUAAGUGGAAUUCCGAGUGUAGAGGUGAAAUUCGUAGAUAUUCGGAAGAACACCAGUGGCGAAGGCGGCUUACUGGCUCAUUCUAGACGCUGAGGUGCGAAAGCGUGGGGAGCAAACAGGAUUAGAUACCCGAGUAGUCCCUGUCUCUUAUAC
rnacentral:rRNA from 1 species